rnacentral:rRNA from 1 species
GUCCUGCAGUCGACGAUUCCUACGGGAGGCAGCAGUGAGGAAUAUUGGGCAAUGGGCGAAAGCCUGACCCAGCCACGCCGCGUGAGUGAUGAAGGCCUUCGGGUCGUAAAGCUCUGUGGGGAGGGACGAAAAAUCUCCAUUCGAAUAGGAUGGAGACCUGACGGUACCUCCUUAGCAAGCACCGGCUAACUCUGUGCCAGCAGCCGCGGUAAUACAGAGGGUGCGAACGUUGCUCGGAUUUACUGGGCGUAAAGCGCGUGUAGGCGGACUCGCAAGUCGGUUGUGAAAUCCCUGGGCUUAACCUAGGAACUGCAUCCGAAACUGCUUGUCUUGAGUAAUGGAGAGGGUGGCGGAAUUCCCGGUGUAGAGGUGAAAUUCGUAGAUAUCGGGAGGAACAUCAGUGGCGAAGGCGGCCACCUGGACAUUUACUGACGCUGAGACGCGAAAGCGUGGGGAGCAAACAGGAUUAGAUACCCUGGUAGUCCACGCCGUAAACGAUGAGCAUUAGGUGCAGCGGAUAUUGACCUCUGCUGUGCCGUAGCUAACGCGUUAAAUGCUCCGCCUGGGGAGUACGGCCGCAAGGCUAAAACUCAAAUGAAUUGACGG